rnacentral:rRNA from 1 species
GACGUAGGGUGCAAGCGUUUGUCCGGAUUUACUGGGCGUAAAGAGCGCGUAGGCGGUCUGUUAAGUGUAGAGUGAAAGCUCCGGGCUCAACCCGGAAAUUGCUCUGCAUACUGGCAGACUUGAGGGAUGCAGAGGUUUGUGGAAUUCCUGGUGUAACGGUGAAAUGUGUUGAUAUCAGGAGGAACACCCAUGGCGAAGGCAGCAAACUGGGCAUCAUCUGACGCUGAGGCGCGAAAGCGUGGGUAGCAAACAGG